UGUUGGUGCUUGGGAAAGGGGUGGGGCUGGAGACUGAAGAGCUGAAUAAUAGCUCUAGGGGAAUAAAAGCCUGAUGAAACAUGCAGAAAACAGCAUGAAGCCUAAGAUAAGUACAUUGGCAAAGAACCAUAGGGAACAAUAAGGGGGAGUAGUACCUAGAAAAAGGCUGAAACCCCUAGAGCAACAGAAACAAAGCCCAGGAUGUCCAGUCUGCUCUGGUACCACCUGCCAACAGUCUGGCUAAUACUGAGUCAGCUUCUCAGAGAAAGCUCCACUAAAUGGAUAAAUGAUGAAGAGAUUAAAUUAUGUGGCAAUGAAUUCAACGAGGCCAUUUUAACCUUCUGCUUGGAACCUGAAAAGAGAAUCUCCAAAAUCCAGGUGGACCAGCUAGAAGAAUCUGGAUCACUCACAAAGAUGGUAUCAUCCUCCGCUGACGAAGAUGCAGGAACCUUUGAUAUGGUGUCAGAAUUCAUUCCUAAUAUGCCAAAGGUCAUUAUGUAUGAAGGACAACCGCCAUUCAGGAAGGACCUCCUUUCCCAGCCAAAGAGAACUAUAUUUGAUAUCACUAAAUUAUGUUGUGAAGAAGGUUGUGACAAAAAAACUUUUCUUGAAGCAUGCAUCAUAGUGAUUAUGAACUUCUCACCUAACUUCAUACAUAUUCAAGCAUUCAAUGAUGCCCAGUUCAGUGACCACUGAUAAUCAGAAUAUGAGAAAUUCUCAAUAGUAUUUGUAUUUUCAUUUAUCCUAGUAUAAUAAGUCUUUUCAUGAUUGUACUUUCUCUAAAACAUUCUUUUUCUGCUGAAAUCACUUUUUUUUUUGGUACCAGGGAUCAAACUCAGGACCUUGACCUUGCAAGGCAGGUGGCGGAACCACUGAGCUAAAUCCCUGGCCCCUCUGAAAUCACUUUAUUAAUAGUAUAGUUACACUAAUUGCUUAAUUUUGUUAUCUUCAUGAUAUUAAAACCUUUAAGAUAUUAAAACCUUUAACUAACAUAGCUUUUUAAUGCCAGAUACAUACAAAAGUGAUUACAUUUUUAUGACCUUGUCAACACAGGCCAUAUGUAUACAAAACUGCUAACACUGGAAUUUUCUACUUCCAUUGAAUUGGGUUUUUUGGGAGUCAUAUUGAAAUAUUAUUUGAA
rnacentral:lncRNA from 1 species